CUCAGAGAGCCCAUUUGCUUCCCACGCCUCCCCUCUCACUCGCUCUCUCACUGUAGAUUGUGUAUUCGGAUAUGUUUGUUGGAAGCAGGUGAAAGAAACCCUACAAAAACCCCUCCCAGAGCAGAGGGAGGAACCGACGUGGCUGUUUUCUUUGGGGGCAUAUAAGGUUAAGGCUGUGUUUGGCAUUUGAGGAGUGAAAGGCAAACAAAGGUCAAAGCCCAUUAUGUAUGGGAAGAAAGAAACUGAAUUCAAGUGGGCCGAGAGCCUGCUCAAUUGGGCCUGAUGGAGAUGUUAAACCGGUUUGCCUAUCUCAAUGAAAUGAAUAAAGUGAUGGGUUAGCACUUAGCAAAAAAAAACUGAUGGGCCGGUGACCCACUACAGUAGGAUCAUCUUAAGCCGAGGAAUCAUGUUCAUGUUUGAAUUUUAGUUUAUUCACGUAAAAUAGUUACCCACUGUAUAGAUUAUCUGUAAUCAUGAAUGUUAAUAUUGAAGUUGAAUCAUGUUAUUUUAUUUUACCUUAAUUUUCAUUAUUUCAUGAUCUAAUCCUCGGGUUCUUCUCCCUAUGUUCUU